UCUACUUCUCCCGCGCAGGGGAAAAAAGGUGGGAGAAGCCCGGGCAGAGGUUAAAGCUGCUCCU
rnacentral:miRNA from 1 species